rnacentral:rRNA from 1 species
UCGACUGUUUAUCAAAAACAUAGCCAUAAGGAGAUAUUUAUGGUGUUAUCUGCCCAGUGAUUAUAUUUAACGGCCGCAGUACCUUGACUGUGCAAAGGUAGCAUAAUCACUUGACUUUUAAAUGGAGCCUAGAAUGAAAGAGAGAACGUAGAUAAGUUGUCUUAUUAAUAAUAUUUUAAACUUGCUGGAGGAGUGAAAAUACUCUUAAAUUUAAAAAUAGACGAGAAGACCCUUAGAAUUUUAAAAAUAUUUAAGUAGUCUCUUGUAAGAUUUUUUGUUGGGGCAACAGUAUUUCAUAAAAAUAAAUAUUAAUUUAAAAGGUAUAUCGAUUUAAUAAUUACGAAAAAAUUACCUAAGGGAUAACAGCAUAAUUUAAUA